rnacentral:rRNA from 1 species
GACGAACGCUGGCGGCGUGCUUAACACAUGCAAGUCGAACGGAAAGGCCCUGCUUUUGUGGGGUGCUCGAUUGGCGAACGGGUGAGUAACACGUGAGUAACCUGCCCUUGACUUUGGGAUAACUUCAGGAAACUGGGGCUAAUACCGGAUAGGAGCUCCUGCUGCAUGGUGGGGGUUGGAAAGUUUCGGCGGUUGGGGAUGGACUCGCGGCUUAUCAGCUUGUUGGUGGGGUAGUGGCUUACCAAGGCUUUGACGGGUAGCCGGCCUGAGAGGGUGACCGGCAACAUUGGGACUGAGAUACGGCCCAGACUCCUACGGGAGGCAGCAGUGGGGAACAUUGCACAAUGGGCGGAAGCCUGAUGCAGCAACGCCGCGUGCGGGAUGACGGCCUUCGGGUUGUAAACCGCUUUCGCAUGUGACGAAGCGUGAGUGACGGUAAUGGGUAAAGAAGCACCGGCUAACUACGUG